rnacentral:lncRNA from 1 species
GGAUCUCCGCGUUGGAGGAAGAGGGAGUCGAAAGAGGCUUCCACUCUUUGAAAAAGACCCAAUGGUGGUUGGGCUUCGGGUCACGUGACACCUUCUUUGUGGCUCCGGAAGAGGAUUGUGAAGUUUAGGUUUCGUGGAAGAAACCGAUAAUUGAGGAAAAAAAAAAAUCAAGAUUUGGGGGGAAUUACCUACAAAGAUGUAAGGUGUGUUAAUUUGGGCGCUUCUUGGAUUCUACCCUGAGGAGGAGGCGCGUGGUGAGAGGAGAGAUCUUGAUCUGCCGCUCGCUGAGGUUCAGCAGGUUGGCCAUCUCUACACGGCGAGGCCGGCACAGGUAGCGGUUAAAAUGGAACUCCUUCUCCAGCUCCACCAGCUGCGCGCUCGUGUACGCCGUCCGCGCCCGCUUGGACGCCGCCG